rnacentral:tRNA from 1 species
GGGAUGUAGUUCAGUGGUAGAGUGCUUUCCCAGCAUGCACAAGUUCCUGGGUUCAAUCCCCAGUACCCA